GGGGUGUGUUCAAAGCAAGGGGCCUAAAGAAUGGCUCCUCUGUUUAUAACACCCAACAGGAAUCUGGGAUCAUUACGAUUAGGGGCGCAAAACUUAUGGCCUCCCUACAAACAAAUUUCCUACAUGU
ensembl:snoRNA